rnacentral:tRNA from 8 species
GCCGACGUAGCUCAGCAGGUAGAGCAGCUCACUCGUAAUGAGCAGGUCAGCGGUUCGAGUCCGCUCGUCGGCU